rnacentral:tRNA from 1 species
GCUCGCGUAGCCCAACAGCAGAGGCACGGCGUUGAGAGCGCCGCCAGUGCAGGUGCGAAUCCUGUCGUGAGCA